rnacentral:rRNA from 1 species
CGACGGUGAAGCAGAGCUUGCUCUGUGGAUCAGUGGCGAACGGGUGAGUAACACGUGAGCAAUCUGCCCCUGACUCUGGGAUAAGCGCUGGAAACGGCGUCUAAUACCGGAUACGAGCUGCGACCGCAUGGUCAGUAGCUGGAAAGAAUUUCGGUCAGGGAUGAGCUCGCGGCCUAUCAGCUUGUUGGUGAGGUAAUGGCUCACCAAGGCGUCGACGGGUAGCCGGCCUGAGAGGGUGACCGGCCACACUGGGACUGAGACACGGCCCAGACUCCUACGGGAGGCAGCAGUGGGGAAUAUUGCACAAUGGGCGAAAGCCUGAUGCAGCAACGCCGCGUGAGGGAUGACGGCCUUCGGGUUGUAAACCUCUUUUAGCAGGGAAGAAGCGAAAGUGACGGUACCUGCAGAAAAAGCGCCGGCUAACUACGUGCCAGCAGCCGCGGUAAUACGUAGGGCGCAAGCGUUAUCCGGAAUUAUUGGGCGUAAAGAGCUCGUAGGCGGUCUGUCGCGUCUGCUGUGAAAACCCGAGGCUCAACCUCGGGCCUGCAGUGGGUACGGGCAGACUAGAGUGCGGUAGGGGAGAUUGGAAUUCCUGGUGUAGCGGUGGAAUGCGCAGAUAUCAGGAGGAACACCGAUGGCGAAGGCAGAUCUCUGGGCCGUAACUGACGCUGAGGAGCGAAAGGGUGGGGAGCAAACAGGCUUAGAUACCCUGGUAGUCCACCCCGUAAACGUUGGGAACUAGUUGUGGGGUCCAUUCCACGGAUUCCGUGACGCAGCUAACGCAUUAAGUUCCCCGCCUGGGGAGUACGGCCGCAAGGCUAAAACUCAAAGGAAUUGACGGGGACCCGCACAAGCGGCGGAGCAUGCGGAUUAAUUCGAUGCAACGCGAAGAACCUUACCAAGGCUUGACAUAUAGAGGAAACGUCUGGAAACAGUCGCCCCGCAAGGUCUCUAUACAGGUGGUGCAUGGUUGUCGUCAGCUCGUGUCGUGAGAUGUUGGGUUAAGUCCCGCAACGAGCGCAACCCUCGUUCUAUGUUGCCAGCACGUAAUGGUGGGAACUCAUGGGAUACUGCCGGGGUCAACUCGGAGGAAGGUGGGGAUGACGUCAAAUCAUCAUGCCCCUUAUGUCUUGGGCUUCACGCAUGCUACAAUGGCCGGUACAAAGGGCUGCAAUACCGUGAGGUGGAGCGAAUCCCAAAAAGCCGGUCCCAGUUCGGAUUGAGGUCUGCAACUCGACCUCAUGAAGUCGGAGUCGCUAGUAAUCGCAGAUCAGCAACGCUGCGGUGAAUACGUUCCCGGGUCUUGUACACACCGCCCGUCAAGUCAUGAAAGUCGGUAACACCUGAAGCCGGUGGCCCAACCCUUGUGGAGGA